UUUAUUUUUUAUGUCUUUUGUGGCUGUUCAGUGGUAAAAGCUGAACAGAUGAAUAAGGGAAAGAGGUGAGAAUCCUCUACGGUACCGCCGCUGUAUAUGCUGAGCUCGUAUUCAAAAGAUGAAAAUCGGUCAUUGGGGAAACCUGAGAAGGCUGGAUAUGGGUGCAAAGAAAGAUUCUUUAGAAGCAUGAGUCAGAAGACCUACAAAAGAAGGCUUUAUGAG
rnacentral:ncRNA from 2 species